UACAGAGGGUGCAAGCGUUAAUCGGAAUUACUGGGCGUAAAGCGUGCGUAGACGGUUACAUAAGUCGGGUGUGAAAGCCCCGGGCUCAACCUGGGAAUUGCAUUCGAGACUGCGUAGCUAGGGUGCGGAAGAGGGAAGCGGAAUUUCCGGGUGUAGCGGUGAAAUGCGUAGAUAUCGGGAAGGAACACCAGUGGCGAAAGCGGCUUCCUGGUCCAGCACCGACGUCAGGCACGAAAGCGUGGGGAGCAAACAGG
rnacentral:rRNA from 1 species